rnacentral:piRNA from 1 species
UAACACAUUUUGUGCUUCCAGCCUACAA